UUUCGGGUCGCGACUUCCUUCGGGUGGUCAUAAACCCUCGCCUCCUGCUCCCGUCUCAUCCCCGCCCCCCUCGAGCUCGCAGCCGCGGAAGCCAAACCCUAGCCUCGACCCGCACCUCCAGCCACCGCGUGUUCCGGUUGCAGCAGGGGAGGAUGAGCAGGCGCUGGAGCCGGACGAUCUAUGUCGGGAACCUCCCCGGCGACAUCCGGGAGAGGGAGGUGGAAGAUCUGUUCCACAAGUAUGGGAGAAUUGUUGACAUUGACUUGAAGAUCCCCCCGAGGCCGCCUGGUUAUGCUUUUGUUGAGUUUGAAGAUCCUCGUGAUGCCGAAGAUGCAAUUGCUGGAAGGGAUGGCUACAACUUUGAUGGAAAUCGUCUAAGAGUGGAACCUGCACAUGGUGGUAGAGGUAAUGCUUCCUCGAACGAUCGUUCAAGUGGCUUUGGUGGCGGAGCACGCCGUGGUGUGUCUAGGCACUCAGACUAUCGUGUUCUUGUUAGUGGACUGCCUUCUUCUGCAUCAUGGCAAGAUCUAAAGGACCAUAUGAGGAAAGCAGGUGAUGUCUGUUUCUCUGAAGUUUACCGUGAAGGCGGUGGCACCUUAGGGAUUGUGGACUACUCAAACUAUGAUGAUAUGAAAUAUGCUAUAAAGAAACUGGAUGAUACUGAAUUCAGGAAUGCCUUUGGUCGAGCUUAUAUAAGGGUGAAGGAAUAUGACGGCAAACGUGGCCGCUCAUCACGUAGCCGAAGCCCAAGUCGUAGCUACAGCAGAAGCAGGAGCCCAUCAAAAUCUCCCAGGGCUCGUCGUUCAGCAUCUAGAUCCCGUUCGAGGUCUGUUUCUUCCCGUUCAAGGUCAGCAUCAAAAGGACGUUCCCCAUCAAGACUCGAUUAUCUGGUCAUUUUAUCUGGGAUUGUGCGGCGAUCUGGGGAUUGCGCAUUAGGAUAUUGAGGAUGGGAUUUUCUCAAUUUGCUACAGUUCAGUUGGUUGUAUGAGAGCUUGGGCAUAGCGCAUUGUUUGGAAUACUGGACAUAAGAGCGUUAAGGAUUGAUGAUCUGGAUUAUGGUGGUACAAUUGCUAGGAAUGUGCUUGGAAUUCAAUGCUCGGGAAAUGAGUUUUCUUCCUACCUCGUGCAUACUUCGGAUGGUUGCUGUAGUUCAAUGGCACUGUUUGCAUUUAAUAUGACAACUUUACAUUAUUACAUGCUUUGGACUUACGGAACUGAAUGCUUCUAUCUUCAAUGAGCUUUUAUCGCUUUCGUUCGGCUGGGCGAGGCGCCAUGGCUUUUGGAAUCAAGUUGUUAAAGCUGCAUUUGGGAUAUUGAAUUCAGUUGUUUGUGGAACCUUUUUGCAGAUCACCAGCAAGAUCCAAAUCUCCUAAUGCUUCUCCAGCAAAUGGUGAAGCAGCAAGUCCCAAGAAACAGAGCCCCAGCAGGAGCCCAUCUGGCUCACGUUCUCCCGAUGCCAAACCUGAAUAGAACUGCUGUGCUGAUGAGGAAUUGCGGAUGGAGUCCUGAUCUCAGUAUCUGAGCAACUGCGCAAUGAGAUUCCAGGAUAUUAACUAUCAGCUUGUAUCGAUGGAAACUCCAGACUAAUGCACUGUUAUUUUUGUCUAGCCUGUGUAAGGGCAUAUUUACUUUGACUAGUAUUGAUUGUUGAAUGCUAUGUGGAUUGUCUUGACUAAAGCUCAUGUUUUGAAUUGUUGUGGACCA